UUACGGCCAUAUCAGGUUCAAACACCGGUUCUCGUACGAUCACCGAAGUUAAGCCACGUCGAGCCUGGUCAGUACUUAGAUGGGCGACUGCUUGGGAAUGUAAUG